UACGGAGGAUCCGAGCGUUAUCCGGAUUUAUUGGGUUUAAAGGGUGCUCAGGCGGGAGAUUAAGUCGGCGGUGAAAUUUUGCAGCUCAACUGUAAAAGUGCCUUCGAAACUGGUUUCCUUGAGUGUGGAUGAGGUAGGCGGAAUUUGUGGUGUAGCGGUGAAAUGCAUAGAUAUCACGAGGAACUCCGAUUGCGUAGGCAGCUUACUAAACCAUAACUGACGCUCAAGCACGAAGGCGUGGGGAUCAAACAGGAUUAGAUACCCCGGUAGUCCCU
rnacentral:rRNA from 1 species